rnacentral:SRP_RNA from 1 species
UGUCUGGCUUGGCCGGGGCGCUUGGCGUGCCCUACACCCGAAAUCGUCAAUACGCGGGGGCGACAGCAGGGGACGGCCCCGCUGAACACUCAAGCCCAUCUAGCAACGAUGAAACUUUGUCCUGUAGAGUCGGUGUUUGUGAAGAAGGCGACCGGAGGGUCGCAGUUCACACAUCAAUCGGGGGAACCGGGUCAGGUCCUGACGGGAGCAGCCUCACCUCGAACUACUGACGUUUAUGGGGUCGCAGAGUCGAGAAGCGAAAUGGUCAACUUGUGGCGGGAUGUGAGGUCAACCCCUGCGGUCAGGCA